GUAAACACCCACCGAUAGUGCGGGCGGGAACUAAUAUAAAAAAUUAAUUUCUUUCAUGCAAAAAAUUGCAGUUACUCUCUGUUAUCGAUAAGAUGAAGGUUUUUCUUUUUUUAAUUAUUGCAUUGGUGUUUCAGGUCAACGGAAAUGACAUCUGCAUAAACUACAGCAGUAUAGC